UCCUGAUAUUUUUGGAUGAUGGUGUUGUACUUAAGUAGUGAGAUGCCUUCACUCAUCUGGCAAGGUUAUGGACAAAGGAAUGCUGUCUGGUACAUCCUACCCCUGGAUGUCUGGUGAAGCCUGAGAGAAGCAUCUCAGGCCAGGGCCCUAGCCGAUGGAGCAGAGCAGCCUGCAUUCAGGGAGAGCUUUCCCACCUGCUACCCCCACCCAGGUAAAACCUCACACACAGGCCCAGAGAAUUGUUGGAUGAUUUUGCAUCAGAGCGAGUUGACAAUCAAGAUAACCGUCACGUCACUGUCAUCUUCACCUCUCAGUGGAAUUCUAGCUGUUUACUUUGUCCUCAGCUCUCCAUGCUCCAGUGCCACUGGAUGAAACCAUGUGACAGUGCCACCAGAAGCCAAGUAUUAGGACAAGGUUGGUGCCUAAACAGACAGAAUUCAUCUUUCUUCUGUGAACAUCACAAAGAAGCAUUAGCUUAAAUAAGCCUUAAAACACAAAAGAAAACAGCUUGUGUUUUCUCAG